rnacentral:tRNA from 1 species
GGGAGCGGCUGGUUCCCGGUGGAGCCCCCGGUCUUCAAAAUCGGUGGGGCGCGGCGCUGAGCCGGGCCCGGUGGGUUCGACUCCCAUCCGCUCCC